UGGGGAAUAUUGGACAAUGGGCGAAAGCCUGAUCCAGCCAUGCCGCGUGUGUGAAGAAGGUCUUCGGAUUGUAAAGCACUUUAAGUUGGGAGGAAGGGCAUUAACCUAAUACGUUAGUGUUUUGACGUUACCGACAGAAUAAGCACCGGCUAACUCUGUGCCAGCAGCCGCGGUAAUACAGAGGGUGCAAGCGUUAAUCGGAAUUACUGGGCGUAAAGCGCGCGUAGGUGGUUUGUUAAGUUGGAUGUGAAAUCCCCGGGCUCAACCUGGGAACUGCAUUCAAAACUGACUGACUAGAGUAUGGUAGAGGGUGGUGGAAUUUCCUGUGUAGCGGUGAAAUGCGUAGAUAUAGGAAGGAACACCAGUGGCGAAGGCGAC
rnacentral:rRNA from 1 species